AUGCAGUCGAGCGAGAAAGCACUUCGGUGCGAGUACAGCGGCGGACGGGUGAGUAACGCGUAGGAAUCUACCUGGUAGUGGGGGACAACAUGGUGAAAACCAUGCUAAUACCGCAUACGCCCUAAGGGGGAAAGCGGGGGAUCUUCGGACCUCGCGCUAUUGGAUGAGCCUGCGUAAGAUUAGCUAGUUGGUGGGGUAAAAGCUCACCAAGGCGACGAUCUUUAGCUGGUCUGAGAGGAUGAUCAGCCACACUGGAACUGAGACACGGUCCAGACUCCUACGGGAGGCAGCAGUGGGGAAUAUUGCGCAAUGGGCGAAAGCCUGACGCAGCCAUGCCGCGUGUGUGAAGAAGGCCUUAGGGUUGUAAAGCACUUUCAAUUGGGAAGAAAGGUUGUCCGUUAAUAGCGUGCAGCUGUGACAUUACCUUUAGAAGAAGCACCGGCUAACUCCGUGCCAGCAGCCGCGGUAAUACG
rnacentral:rRNA from 1 species